CGUGAAAAGUCCGGUGACGCGGAAGAAGUCGGUUUUUCCGAAAGCCAGUUAAGGUGCCGUCCCCCUGUCGCUCUCCACCUGCAGCGCCAGAUAAUUAAGCUUCAGGAUUCAGACCCCGAACCCAGGAAAACUCGAACUCUCCGCCGCUCCAGGUAGGAAACUCCCUGGCUGCAGGAGAGACGGCGGCGGCGCAAGAGAGCUGGUCCCAACCCCCGACUCUGGUGCUCAGCAGUCCCCCGCGCUGAGCGGCCCCUGCGCACCAGCAGCCGGGAGUCCCCGCAAGUGUCCCAACUUUCCCGCGGGGCCCGAGGUCAUGCGCGCUCUCCUGGCCAAACGAGCAGCCGGGCAUCGAUCGCACCCGGGGCCGAGCGCGGGCGGCCGGCAGGAGCGAAGGGAGUCCCGGACCUAGUGCCCGCGCACGAGAGGAGACAGCGGCUCCGCCUGCGCCGCCGAAUUAUUCAUUAUUAAAGGAAUGGACGUGUCUCUUUUA